UGGGGAAUAUUGGACAAUGGGCGCAAGCCUGAUCCAGCCAUGCCGCGUGUGUGAAGAAGGCCUUUUGGUUGUAAAGCACUUUAAGCGAGGAGGAGGCUACUUGGAUUAAUACUCUAAGAUAGUGGACGUUACUCGCAGAAUAAGCACCGGCUAACUCUGUGCCAGCAGCCGCGGUAAUACAGAGGGUGCGAGCGUUAAUCGGAUUUACUGGGCGUAAAGCGUGCGUAGGCGGCUUCUUAAGUCGGAUGUGAAAUCCCUGAGCUUAACUUAGGAAUUGCAUUCGAUACUGGGAAGCUAGAGUAUGGGAGAGGAUGGUAGAAUUCCAGGUGUAGCGGUGAAAUGCGUAGAGAUCUGGAGGAAUACCGAUGGCGAAAGCAGCCAUCUGGCCUAAUACUGACGCUGAGGUACGAAAGCAUGGGGAGCAAACAGG
rnacentral:rRNA from 1 species